GGGGUCCUGGAGCGGGCUGAGGCUGCCCAAGUUCGAGCCCCCCCCGGCGCCCCCUGAGGUGGAGGAGGGCGGCGAUGACGUCACACCGAGCGCCAAUGACGUCGCGCCCGAGCCCGAUGACGUCACCGAGGCCACCAUCCGCCGCUUGGGGGCGCUGCAGCUCCAGGAGCCCGCGGGGGGCGGGGCCGAGGCCGAGGGGGCGGGGCCUCAGCAGGACCCCGCCCCUGUGGGCGGGGCCGAGGCCGGACCUGGUGCUGCCCCCUGCUGGGGGGAGGACGAGGAGCUGGAGGAGGGGGCGCUGUUCGCCGUGACGCCGCUGCCGGAGUGUCCCCACCUGGGGGCCGUGACCCCUCCCCCUCCCCCCGGGGGGGUCCUGGGGGGGUCCCGACCCCCCCCCUGCGGGGUCUGUGGGAGCCGCCGCGAGAACUG